rnacentral:lncRNA from 1 species
UCAGUCUUAAUAUGUGUAUUCAAGGAAAAUAACAGAAAAGAAGGUUAAAUAUGUCUGCAUACUGUUUAUAUUGGAUCCUGUGUAUGCAGACCUUAGUGUUAACAUUAGGUCAGUUAACAUCUAAAUGAAAUGAUCCUGUUGAUAUUAAGUUUCUUUUUGUAAUUAUCCCCCCUACCUUUAACAUGUUUUUACUAACCAAUGACCUAUUGACAACUUUAAUCGCACAUACAUUUUACCAAUCAAUUUGAAAUUCAUUAGUACUUAAAGACUUUCUGAUAUGCACGCUAGAGAUCAAGGAAGGUAGAUUUACAUCUAAAUGCAGAAAAAUCGAAUAUCAUUCUAAAUGUAGAAAAAUCAAAUAUCAUUCUAAAUGCAGAAACAUCGAAUAUCAUUCUAAAUGUAGAAAAAUCGAAUAUCAUUCUAAAUGUUGAAACAUUGAAUAUCAUUGUAAAUGCUGAAAAAUCGAAUAUCAUUCUAAAUACAGAAACAUCGCAUAUCAUUCUAAAUGUAGAAACACCGAAUAUCAUUCUAAAUGUAGAAAAAUCGAUUAUCAUUCUAAAUGCAGAAAAAUCGAAUAUCAUUCUAAAUGUAGAAACAUCGAAUAUCAUUCUAAAUGUAGACACUUCGAAUAUCAUUCUCAAUGCAGCAAAAUCGAAUAUUAUUCUAAAUGUAGAAACAUUGAAUAUCAUUCUAAAUGUAGAAAAAUCGAAUAUCAUUCUAAAUGCAGCAAAAUCGAAUAUCAUUCUAAAUGAAGAAUCAUCGAAAAUCAUUCUAAAUGUAGAAUCAUCGAAUAUCACUCUUAAUGUAGAAACAUCGAAGAUCAUUCUAAAUACAGCAAAAUCAAAUAUCAUUCUAAAUGCAGAAAAUUUGAAUAUCAUUCUAAAUGUAGUAACAUCGAAUAUCAUUUUAAAUGUAGUAACAUCGGAUAUCAUUCUAAAUGCAGAAAAAUCGAAUUUCAUUCUAAAUGCAGCAAAAUCGAAUAUCAUUCUAAAUGCAGAAACAUCGAAUAUCAUUCUAAAUGCAACAAAAUCGAAUAUCAUUCUAAAUGCAUCAAAAUCGAAAAUCAUUCUAAAUGUAGAAACAUCGUAUAUCAUUCUAAAUGUAGAAAAAUCGAAUAUCAUUCUAAAUAUAGAAACAUCGAAUAUCAUUCUAAAUGUAGAAACCUCGAAUAUCAUUCUAAAUGUAGAAAAAUCGAAUAUCUCUAUAUAAAAACAUCGAAUAUCAUUCUAAAUGUAGAAACAUCGAAUAUCAUUCUAAAUGUAGAAAAAUCGAAUAUCAUACUAAAUGCAACAAAAUCGAAUAUUAAGUUGCUUUCAACAAUUGGCAAGCUAAGUGUCUUGGGACAAUCAUGCUUUUAAACGUUGAAGUUUUAAAUUAUAUUUGAAUAAUUUUUUAAAACACAGCACAAGAUAUGCAGCUAACGCUAAAUUACUAGUAUCUAAAAGACAUGGUUAUAAUCUUGGGAAAGGCACAUCGAUAUGUACAGUAUUACACUGUAACUUUUGUUAUAUAACCUAAAUACUUUAGGGUUUUAAGGGUUACGCAAGUAUCAAUCUGACGUCUCAACUAAAAAAUGUACAUAUUUCAUGGCUUUUCUUUCUAGAAAUUCAUACUUAGAUUUGUGCGAACCGUACUUCAUACAUUCAUUAAAUAAUCGUCAUCAAGUUUGUUUGUUUUAAACAUAUAAAACAUUAAGGGUUAAAAACAAAGGAGCUUGACAAAAAAACAGUCUAUGAUCAACUGUGUAGGGGAGGGGACUACAUAUCUGUUUUUAAAACAGGUUUUGUUCUUAAUAUAAUUUCGUCUGUUGACAUGUAGUUUAAAGGCCUCACAUUUUAAUAAAGAAAAAAUACAGGAUUGUCAUUCUGGAGCAUCAGGAAUCAAGUUUGUUCAUAAUCGAAACUACAAAUAAUCGAUCCAAUGAAAAAAAAUAUUUUGAUUAUCAACUUAUGACCAAAGAUGAUGAAUAUACUAUAACUUAUUUUAUAGGAUACAAAGGAAAAGAACAAUCAGAAAUAUAUCAAUGUCAAGAUAUUUUUUUCUCUUUGCAGACAAGAAAUAUAUUUAGUAUUUUACACUGUAUUUAAAAGGAAAUAAAACAUUUGAUAUAUUGAAUGUUAGUGCAGUUACAACUUGUUUUUUUUAGGUCAACUUGCUAUAAAAACUAAUUGCCAUGUACUAGGGAGCCCAUGUACUAUAUCUUGUUCCAUUCCCGACUUUAGCAAACUUGCAUCAUGGAGUAGAAACAACACGAGUAUGACGUCAUGUACUAAUAGUCCUUUCUGUCAUAUAGGAUCGACCGGAAUAUACAAUUUUAGCGCUAAUCAGUUAGGAAUAUAUGUAGCUAUCUCUGAUUUAACUUCAAACGAAAAUGAUGUAAAAUGGACUUGUACACAUGGAGUAGAUACGCCAGUUAGCCUUUCUAUAAGCAUUCUCGAAAAAGGUAAUAU